AACGAACGCUGGCGGCGUGUCUUAAGCAUGCAAGUCGUGCGGCAAGGGGUAGCAAUACCCCCUAGAGCGGCGGACUGGUGAGUAACGCGUGGGUGAUCUGCCCUUGGGAUGGGGAUAGCCACUAGAAAUAGUGGGUAAUACCGAAUACGUUCGCUCCUUCGGUGGAGCGAGGAAAAGCGCUUCGGCGCUGCCCGAGGAUGAGCCCGCGUCCCAUUAGCUAGUUGGUGAGGUAAUGGCCCACCAAGGCGAUGAUGGGUAGGCGGCCUGAGAGGGUGUACGCCCACACUGGGACUGAGAUACGGCCCAGACUCCUACGGGAGGCAGCAGCUAAGAAUAUUCCGCAAUGGACGAAAGUCUGACGGAGCGACGCCGCGUGGAUGACGAAGGCCGAAAGGUUGUAAAGUCCUUUUGCUGGGGAAGAAUAACCAUGGGAGGGAAUGCCCGUGGGAUGACAUGAACCGGCGAAUAAGCCCCGGCUAACUACGUG
rnacentral:rRNA from 1 species